CUGUCUAUAAUCGCACUUUUUCCUCUCAGUUGCUGGUUAAAAUUAUUUUGCAAGUUGGAAAAUAAGUGCAGUUUUAUUACAUUUGCAACAAACUUAAUAGAUUAAUUAGGAGACAGUAAAUCUCUUUAGAAGUGAGCCAUCUUACACAACAACAGUUUUAACUGAGGUGAUACCAGUGUAAGAAGUGAGACCUCUUAGACGCUGGCAUUUCUGUGUCCACAUUCUAGUUUUGUUUGUCAUUUCUGUGGAGUUUUUCUUCAAAAGUACUGCAUUUUCCAUAAGCAAGGACCAAAGAGAUUGUGACUGCAGGUCGUGAACGUGUGGACAAAGCAUCCUAGACACCUGCGGAAGUGGCUCCAUCCACAGCGUCCCCCUGAUGCUGUCAUGCUCCCCGCUUUGGGAAGCCGAUUGUGUCUUUGUUUCUCAGGAAUAGGACUGACCUGCUGUUUGGCAAGUAAUUGCCUGGAAUGUUGUUUCGGACUUCUCUUGUGCUCUGAACGUAUCACGUGAUUUUGCCUAUUUUAUUUAUCCUCAUUGAAUUUUUAAGAUCCAUGUCUUAGUUUACCGAUGGGAGUAAGAUACAGGUGCGUGUUAAAUGUAAUUAUGCAGCAUGAGGACACCUUGGUCACACCCAGACCAACAGCCUGACUUUCUCACAAGCCAGGUGUCUCCCAUGGACAAUUAGAGUACCAUUUUUAAGAGACUUUCUUGUUCAUUUGAAUCAUGAGCCCACAGUUUUUAUUGAGGUCCCAAACAAGAUCAUUUUAUGACAUCUGUGUCACCUGCAAUAAACUGUUGGCUUGUUCUGUUUUCAUUGGACCUAGUAGAUACCCUUCUAGACUAGGAUUUGGAGUUGACCUCUUCCCAAUGUCCCAUCAUUUUACUUGACUGCCCUCAACACUUGGGUUGUGGGAGGCAGUACACCCUCUCACCGACAUUGGGAGGCAUGGUGACACUAUCUUGUAGAAUCCAUGGUUCCCGAAUUUUCUUAGUAUCACUGAAAUUUUCUUUUGGGGUUGGGGUGAAAAGUGGGAAGUAAUAUACUUCACUGUUACCCCUGUUGCACCGACUUUCUUUUGUUGCGGGUUUAGUAUAGAUGCCUGAGUUCAUUCUAGGUUUGAACUCUGCCUGGAGAGAACUCACUACAUCGCCCAGUCUGUCUCAAUAGACUGUCUUGACACCUAGGACAUUGACUGGGCCACCAAAAAUAAAUGGGUCUUUCACCAACUUAAAGCAAUCAGUGGUCAUUCAUCCUCCAUUUCUAGUUCCUAGGGGAGAAAUAGUUAGGCAUUGAUGGUAAAGCAGUUAACUUUUCUCAGCUUAUAUAAGUUUAUGUUGGAUUUAUUUUAUAUAUAUGCCAUCAUUGUGGUACAUGUUUUGUAAUUUGAUGUUUAUAAUAUUGUGGAUGUAUUUUCAAAACAAUAAAUAUAACUUAGCUAUAGGUUAUUCAUUGGAUGUCAAGUAUAUACCCUAUUCGGUUCAUCCAUUUCUCUGUUUGGGAAAUGCAAUUUACUAUUUAUUCGUUUUUGCUGCUGCAUAUAAUGUUGUGAUGUAUAUAAUUCUAGUCAUGCUCCUGUGCUCCUGAUGCUAUAAAAUAGAUCUCUAUAAGUGGCAGCUGGAGUUCAUCAGUUUUGCAUGCCCUUGAUUUUGGUGGGUCCUGUAAAAUCACCCUUGAACUGUUUCCCAGGCCAGCCCACAGCCGUCGUGCCAGGGCCGUGCUGAUUUUCCUAAGAACUUCAAUGUGAGGGACAGUAUUAAUCCUUUAACAUUUUAGCCAAUCUAAUAGGUGAAAAUGCUAUUUUUUUAACCUGAGUUUAAUUUCAACUCUAAAUGGCCGUGGAUAAAAUACAGCAAAUAGUGAUAGAUGAUUUAUUGCAAACAAACAAUAGCCCACCUUUCCUUUCAUCACAAGAGUCACCUGGUUGUCAGAGGCAGACACUGUGGACCUUUUCAAAAUAAGAGUCUUCUUAGAGGUUGAUAAACUGCCUAAGAAUACAUUCUUUUGGCUUUUUACUUUUAAAUAAUUGUGGAUUUAGAGUUUCAAGAAUCAUACAGAGAACCCCCCCAUAUACUACUCACCAAACCAGAUUUUUUCCUACAGUGUUGUGUUCUCUUUCUCUUACUUUACCUCCCUCUCUCUGUCAUCCACACCCCCUUCCCCUCCCCUCAUUUGCCCUCAUUUAUUCAGAUUUGGUGAAUUAUUUGUUAGUAAGUUGCAGAUACUGUAUCCCUUUAACCCCAAAUACUUUAGCAUUCACUUUCUAAGAGCUUGGGAGCCCUUUUAUAUUAAACCUGAUAGAGUUGUGUAAAUUAACUGAAUUUAUCAGUACUAUACUACAAAUAUAUUGCAUUUGUAUUUGGUCUGUAGUAAGAUUUUAUCAGAUGUUCUAGUAAUGCUGUUUAUUAUUUAGUAAUUAAUUCUUAUUAUUAUUAACUCUUACCUAUGGAUAUAUUGAUUCCAGAGAAAGAGGGAGAGUGGUUGGGGAGAGAGACAUCAGUGAGAGAGAAACACAGAUCGGUUGCCUCCUGUUAGCGCUCCGACCUGGCAACUGACUCCACAACCCAGGCAUGUUCCCUGACCAAGAAUCAAACCUGUGACCCUUUGAUUUACAGGAUGAUGCUCCAACCAACUGAGCCACACUGGCCAGGGCUCUAGUCAUGUCCUUUACAGCAAUUUUUCUCCUCGUUCAGAACCCAGAAAAACAAUGCUGAGUUGAAUUGAAGUGUUAGGUUUCUAGUGUAAUUUAAUCUCGAAAAGGUUCUCAUUUGUUGUUUUCACCUUGGUGACUUGGGUAUGCUGGGAAAGGUAAUGCCUUACAGCUUUUAAAGUGGUCUCUUGGAUUUUGAAUUUCUGGUGUUCGGGAGAAAGAUUACGUAACACAUUUUUGGCAGGAGUGCUUCAUAAUUGGCGUGUACCUUGGUGAUUCACAUCAGGUGGCAAAUGAUGUCCCUUGGUCCUGUCAUUGGUGCCAUCAACUGUGAUCACUUGGUGUCCCCUAAAUGUCUUUCCUUUAAAGUUCAAUUUUGUUAUAAUUACGAACUGUUCUAUAGGGUGAUCAUUUGAAGCUGUGCCCUGUUCUGUAUGUCAGCAAACUUUGCCACCAUGGUUUUAGGAGCUGUGGGGGUAUUGAUGAUAGUUAGAAAUCUGAUACUGGUGUGUACAUGAGUUGGUGUUCUGCCCUGAGGAGGAGCUGUUGUACGGGCGGCUUGUGAGGAAUGAAUGAAUUGGUGACCCCUAGGACAAGCAGGGACAGGGUCAUCUGAAGGGUUAAAUGAAGUUGUACGUUUAAACCAUGGCAUAGAAUGUGAGGGGCACUUGGAAUUACUUAAGAGGUGGAGAAUGAAGUACAUUCUGGUGACGGAGGGACAAGACUGUAUUGUGGGUAAGGUGGCCCAGCUUAGGGAUGUGGCACUGCUGUCUCUGUGGCAAGGUGCUCAACGGUCUCUUGAGCUGGCGGUGAGGCGAGGCGGGGAGUUCAUGUUCAGGUUCACUCUAGAUUGAUAGUCUACAUAGAUGGGUAAAUCAGCAGUGUUCUCCCUACUUUCAUUUAUUUCUUAUUAGGUUCUAUUUACAAAUUUUUAGAGAGAAGGGAGGGAGAUACAGGUAGAGACAUUGAUCAAUUGCUUCUCCCAUGCCCUUACCUAGGGACCUGUCUUAGAACCCAGGCAUGUGCCCUCACCAGGAAUGGAAUUGACACCUUUCGGUUUUGCGGAGUGAUACCCAGUCAACUGAGCCGCACCAGUUAGGGCAUGCUUGUUAUUUCUUAAGUUUUCAUAAGUGAUGAAUCAUUUGCACAAAAAUGCAGGCUUUUUUGGUAAAUGGCUUAACUGAAAGGGACAGUAAGUUAAUUGCAAAGCGGAGCUUUAUAGUUGGGUGAAAAUGCCAGUUCUGUAUGUAUGUUCCCAGUUAGAAUAUUCUCUGCUGCCUGUUCUGCGUACUUCAUCACACAGGAUCAUACAGUCCUGUUAGCUUUCCUUAAUUUUUUUCAGAAGACAAUUAAACUCCAGAACUGAGGUAUCAUUCAUUAUUAAGAAUUAUAGGCCCUUACACAGGUUUCCCCUCCCAUGAUGUCUCACUUACCAUUUUUUCCAAAGGUAUAGUUCUCACUGAGUGGCUGGGGCAAAAGUCACUGCCCUGUUUAAUGGGUGUAUUAUAUUCAUGAUUAACCUGUCAGCUGCUUUGGGUUUGAGAGGUUCCAAAUUUCGAUUUCUACAGCACUCCAGGUUUCCAUUAUUCUUGAGUAUUCGUUAUGGACUAACCCAAGUCAGGUAGGACAAAAAUCAGUACUGAUAAAUUAGCCAAACUGGAAUGAAAGAGGCAAGUGACAUGGUAGCUUCAAUAGUUGGAGUGAAGGUAUUGUGCUGGGUUGGUGGAUGUAGACGUGUGGAGAAGUUCUGAGAUCCAGGAUGCGUUUUGAGAGUGUUGUGAGUCAUAUUUCAUGAAGUCUUGGGGUGCCCGUGGGUAAAAUAAGAGCGGGACUCAGGAUGGUGAUGGUCUUCAGCCACCGAAUGAAUGGUGUUACCACCAUGGACCAGGCUGGGGAAGGUUUGUUUUCUCCGAAUGUAUGCUAAGAAAGAGAUCUGUUUUGCUGGUCAGAUAUUUAUAUUAACACCCAUGGACUAAGAUGUUGAUUUUAGAGGUAAAGAUAGGCGUGUGGACUAGCUGGUGGAGAUUGGGGAUAGAGGUAUUACUUUGGAUUGUUUUGUACACAGUUGUUACCUGCAUCCGUGGCAGAGGAUGAGAUCUAAAGAUGAUGUGGGGGGAGGAAUGGGUUCACGUGAGGACUGUACCUUGGAUGCGUAAGCAUUCAGAGUUUGAGGAAGGUCUAUGAAAGGGGAUGGUCAGAAGUGUCCAGAGUCAUAGAGGGAAAACCAAAGAAGUAGCUGCCUUAGGCAUGGCAUUCACUGAGAAACACAGUUAAGGUUGGAGACAGAGUAUCAUUGACGUUGAGUAAAAAUGCUAUACAGUGGGGGAUGGUAUUUAUUACAUUUUAUUUGAGCAAGAACAAAUCAGGGGCUCCCUUUGGAGUCUAUGGUUUGCCUUCUAAUGCUACCCUUGUCAGCCCAGCACAGGCACACGCUACUACCGUGUCAGUUGCUUGCAUGAGUAGUAAAUAAAAUGGAGAUGCCCCUCAGUCAUACAGGUUGAGAUCCUGAGUAGUAUUCGUCAUCACAGGAACACUGAACACAGCCAGUUAUCUUCCUCACAACACUUCAUUCUUCUCAUAAUAACCUUGGCCGUUCCCACUUGCUUUGGGUCUGUCUGCCUGUGUUCAUUGGCCACAGUAGGACUCCUCACAAAGGCAAGGUCACUAGGGUGUCCCAGAGAUACUGGCUUUGGGGAGAUGUAGAGCAAAGACUUGAAGAAUGGGAUGGGUGAGGGUCCACGUGAAAGGAAGGGUAACCACCUAGUCAUCAAGAAGUGGAAACAUAGUGAAUGAAGGUUGGUACUGGGAAUCAAGGAGCAGAUGGAACAAACAGGAGGUGGUCUUUGGAAGGAGAGAAGAGGGGAAGGAGAGGAGACCAGGCUGAAGGUCCAUUUCAUGGACUAGUUCUAGGUCAAGGGAGACCACAUGGAAGCUGAUCUUUCCCAUUUGUGUCUGGAAUAUUUCCAGAGGUGUAGUUGUGGUACGUUGACACUCCCUAGCUAGUGGUUUAGAGAUGAGUCUGGAGAUUUCCUGUCCACCCUGUCGAAAUUGCCACCAUUUGGUUCAUUUUUGUAGUGAAACUUAAUUGGGUGACAUUGGUGAAUAAGAUUAUAUAGGUUUGAGCUGUGCAGUUCCAUGAUACAUCAACUGAAGAUUGCAUGGCGUGCCCACCUCCAUUUACUUUAUAACACGCUUCAUGCCUCUAACAUUUCAGUUGGCGGAUUUUGUUUUGUUUUCAUGUCUGUUGGUGUGGAAGUAAUGAGCUCCUCUAACAGGGACACUUUUCCUAUUCAAAUUUAACUCUCCGUUACCUUCCAGAGCCCAGUAUGUCAUUGGUAUACCGUUUUAUAACUGCAUUCACUAACCUGUGUGUUUAGAUGGUUAAUGAGUGAGGUUCUGAUGAAUUAGCCAAUCAAGGUCAGGAAAAGAAAAGUUCGCGGGGUCAGGUGACCCAGCGUGAGGCCACUCUGAAGGUCACAGUCAUAAUUCACAAAGUCACAUGUUCUGUGGUCUAUGCUGAGUGGCAAUGUGCAGGUACAGGUGUAGUAUCAGGGAACCAACUGUCUGCUGGAUUAGAGUUCAUGGAGUUACGCAUGCCCAUUGGUCAUUGUGCAAGUGGUCAGGUUCACCCCUGAAUACCUUUCCUGUCAUCCUGGUGGGUACCAGCAGAGUUUCUUUCUUCAAUCCAGAGACAGUGCUUUGCAGGGGUGGACAUGUUCCUCUGGGUAGAGUAUGCAUGCCACUGUUUUUAGAAUGACCGUGUAAGAGCAGACAGAUCAUGAUCAGUAAGACAUUAAAUAGCACCAUAUAGUCAGUAACGUCUUUUAAUCAUGAGGCGGAACUAUGUGGUACAGUCUGUAUGACUGACUUCAGUGAGACCAUUCUGUGCCCCUGUAAAUACUGUAUUUAUGUUGCUACCUUCAAUUUUUGUAGCUUUUCCAAAUUUUUCCUUUGUGCAUAUGCUGUAUUGCUGUGCUAAGUAUGAAUAUUUCCCAAAACAAUGACAGGUUACCAACUCUGUGACCCAAAGUCACCUGUUUACUGUUACUCUUAGGUUUGGAAAGUCUAGAAUAGUAAUAAUUGUCAAUUUUAUGGAUAUUGUGAAGAGGUAAAAAAAAAAAAGCCCUGUCAGCGGCGGGGGCUUUCCAAGGUAUCACAGAAUGUUGAUUUCUAGGACUUUGAAAUACUACAUGAAUGGGAGAUUACCUCCUUUCCUUCUGGCUUUUAACUGGUUCUGGGUUAGUUGAAGAUUUCCUCCGAUUCGAUUACCUUUAGGAAAAUACCACUGCUGGUUCAAUUUGGGAGUAGUGAUAACUGCCACCAGAGCCCCGUAAAAAAAGUGACUCAUGAUUAUUUUGAUUCAUAAUAUUCCUUCACAUGCCCAGAAUGCUCCAUCACUUAGUGGAAAUAGUGCCACUGUGCAGUGAACCUUCAAGCGCAUCCAGGACAAAUGGGACAUUGGGGAUGAAGCUGCUGUUGAUCGGUACUGAGAUCUGAAUUCUCAGGAAUAGCCGAGUGCUUAUUGCUUCAUCUUCCCCCAUCACAUUCUUCAGUGUUGCAUUUUACAGCCUUGUCCUUAACGCACUUCGCAACAUCCAUUCAUCUGAUGUUCUGUGCAUUCUGUCUCCUUUUCCCAAACUAGAUAUAACGAGCUCCUAUUUGACAGGGACAUUGUGUUUUGUUGCCUCAUUUUAUGCUGUAAUGUGAGGAAGUAAGAAUUCCAUUGUUGUUUGUCAAACACAUGUAUGAAGGAGAGCGUGAGAGAGGUCAACAAUCAUGAGAGAAUACAUAGCAAUAAAGGAGUCCUAGAGUUAUUCAGAUGCACGCGUGAUGCGCUCUAAUUCCCCAGUCUCUCAUGGUUGGAAGUGUUGAAAGGAGGACAUAAAAUUCAGUGAUUUUUUUCCACCCCAAAACCUAACUUGUAGAUAUUCUUCUGUCAUAAAGUAUUCUAUUUAAUAAUAGGUAUAAAACCAC